GUGGAUAGCUGGUUUGAUUCCAGAUUAGCCAAGACUGGACAGUGUUAUCCUCACUUCAAAGUAAAGUAUAGUCAUAACUAAAGAUGCUGCUGCUUGAAUCUGUAUUAUUACACAUUACUUGCAUCAUUAUUGUAUUGUGCUGUACUCCUCAUGCCACUGUAAAAUAAAUUUAUUCCUUUAGCCUGCCACCCAUCAGGAAAACAUACAUUUCACAUUUUUUUCCUUUGUUUCACACUGUAUCUUCUUUUUCAGUGAGCAUCAGAGAUGUAGGAUGGACUAGAUGACUCCAGGGGUUGAAUGUACCAUAGCUUUCAUAAAAUGUUCUUAAAUGAGUCAAAUUCAUGAUGAAUGGACAAUAAUCAUUACUAUCUGCUGACCUGAAUUUCUGGUGGCUACCUGCCCACUGGCAAUGUCUUUAUAAUAGGUAGAAAAUGUAUGCUGUCACAGGGAUAUUUCUUUUCCUGACUGCCUAAGCCUUUUCUAUCCAAUUCAUGAGACAGAUCACAAAUGGUAUGAUUUCAUUGCUCUCACCACUACUGCUUUUCUUCACUAGUGCCCAACACCGUAUGCCAGUUUCCACAGGAGAAAUCUGGAAGUGGUUGAGAACUGACUUCCAAGGAACAGGAACAGUGUGGGAAAGUCCUUUCCUCCUCCAUCAACAGACUUUCAUUAGAUAGGUCAUUAAUUUUUAGUAUCUGAAUUAGCUUUAACUACAAGAAUUUGGAAUUA
rnacentral:lncRNA from 1 species